AUUGAACGCUGGCGGCAGGCUUAACACAUGCAAGUCGAACGAGUGGCGGACGGGUGAGUAAUGCUUGGGCAUCUAGCUUAUGGAGGGGGAUAACUACGGGCAACUGUAGCUAAUACCGCGUACCAUAGGAUGAGCCCAAGUGGGAUUAGGUAGUUGGUGGGGUAAAGGCUCACCAAGCCGACGGUCUCUAGCUGGUCUGACAGGAUGACCAGCCAAACUGGGACUGAGACACGGCCCAGACUCCUACGGGAGGCAGCGGUGGGGAAUAUUGCGAAAUGGGGGCAACCUGACGCGGCCAUGCCGCGGGAAUGAAGAAGGCCUUCGGGUGGUAAAGUUCUUUCGGUAGCGAGGCGUUAACUACAGAAGAAGCACCGGCUAACUCCGUGCCAGCAGCCGCGGUAAUUC
rnacentral:rRNA from 1 species